CAUGACUGAAGCCACUGAGCAUGCAUGCAUUCAAAAGUAGUGCUGGAUUAAGCAGAUAUAAAUGUAGUCUUUGUUUAGGGAUGUUUCUUUGAAGGAGUCUGGGUUACAUCAUACCUCUCCUGGAAGCAUGGAAAAUUAUGAUGUGUGAUAAGUAUAAUCAAUGGAAUGCAAAGCACCUGGUACAAGAAAAUUCCCCAGGGACAGCUAACUCUGGACAAUGGUCCUCACUCUCUUAGCCUUAAUGCGUCUUCAGCAAGCCUUGCUUUAUAUGAUGCUUUGAAGAAAUGGGUGGAUGUGUCAUCACUGAAUCAUUGAGAACUAAUACCUCAGCAUGAUCUCAACUAUGAAAAUACAGCCCUGCAGUUAGGGAAGAAUAAAGUCAAAUACCCUUGGAAUGCAAGGAGAUCAAAUUAGUCAAUCAAAAAGGAAAUCAGUCCUGAAUAU